GAAGGCAAGCUGCUGCUGGGAAGUGGUGGAAGAAUAGUGAUAAGCUUAGGCUAAGAUGGUGGGAUUGUUGGUAGCUUUGGGAUUCAAGGCAAUAUAGGAGGAAGUGGUGGAAUUGGUACGCUGGGAAGUGGUGGAAGAAUGGGGGUAGGGUUAGGAAGUGGUGGAAUUGGUACUGGUACUCUAGGAAGUGGUGGAAGACUGGGGGUAAGGUUAGGAAGUGGUGGAAUUGGUAAUCUGGGAAGUGGUGGAAUUGGGAAUCCAGGAAGUGGUGGAAGAAUGGGGGGAAGUGGUGGAAUUGGUGGAAUUGGUGGAAUUGGUGGAAUAGUUACUUGCUGAAGAUUUCGAGCUGCUAGGCUAACCUCCAUGCUUGAAAAACCCAACAAAAUGAAACAAGCUAAUAAAAUGAAAACGUUGGAACCUGCCAUUUUUUUUGGAGAGAUGAACUAAAGAUUGAAGAUUUGAGUUGAGGUUUGCAUUGAGGAAAGCAGGAUUGCUUUUCAGGUAUUUAUAGCCACAUUUGAAAGACUUAAUUAAUUAUUUGUUUGAGAUAUUAUUCCCCUACUUAGCAUACUACCUUUUCUCACCCAUCUGUCAUCACCAACAAAAAGAAGAAGAAGAUAAAUUAGACUCAUCCUUAAACUUAAAAAUAUUCUGAAUGAGUCGAUUUGUCUAAUGUUAGUUAAAAAUUAAAUGCUUUUAAAUUUUGUGUGAACUAUAUCUUUCUAUUUCCAUUUACCUAAUGCCAGUUAAAAAAUAAAUAUUUUUUUAUAUAAUGAGUGUAUAUUUGACUUACGUAUGUGGCGCUCUAUUAAAAAAAAAAUUAAAUUAGGUGGAUCAAAUUUAAAUAUUAGAUAACUAUACAUGUUGGUACUUAAACUUGGUAUUUAAGAUUUUUUGUUGUCCAAUUAAAGGUUGAAUUUAAAUUAGAUAGUUGAACUUGAUUUCUUAGUUCAAAUUCCAAGCUUAGAUACCAAAAUGUUUGGUAUAAUAUUAAAUUAAAAAAAUUCAAGAUGUAAAAUACUAAUUUAACAUUUAAACUAGUUGCCCCAUACAGCUACAAUGGUAAUGAUAGAAGAAAAGUAAUUGAAUGGGAUUAGGAGAUGAAGAUCCUAGUAAAGCCACCUCUAGAGGUAUGAGAGUUGCGACCACUCUAUAAUUGAAUGCUACAAAAAUGGUUAUAUCUAGGAAUCUUUCGCCAUUAGCUAAUAAUGGAAAUAGCUAUGUAUCACUUAAAAAACAACAAUUCAUAUUUUCUUGAAAUAUAUUCAAAAAAUUGAAAAAUAUAAAAAAUAUCAUUUUUCUAAAAAUCCAAAAAUUUUAUGUGAAUAUCAACAAAUUCAGAAACUAAAAGAUAUGGAAAGCUUUAAAGUUUUUCCAAAAAGAUAGAAAUUUGCAGAAAAUUAGGUAUUUAAGAUUCCAAUAUUUUUAUUUCCCUUCUUUCCUGAUUGGAGAAAAUAUGAAUUAGGUGACGCCAUCGUUAACAAUUGGGGCAAGGUAAGACACGGUUGGAAACUUCAAGUAGGUGUAAUUUUGGGGAAAUAUUACAUUGUUUAAUAAUGAAUAUUGACAUGAUUUACCCUGAGUUAAAUCAAUUAUAUUUUACUUAUAUUUUCUAUACAAAUUUUAUACAAGCCUAAAUUAAUCAUAUUCAAUCAUAUCAAUCUCAAUAUUUUGAAUAAGAUAAUAAUAUUUUCUUAAAACUAUAACUAUAUAAAGUAUUGUAAAAAUAAUUAUUCAAUUAUACAGCUAUUUUAUUUGUAUAAUUAUAAUUAACAUAACCUUCUCCAUCAUAUAAUUAAAAUUUGUUCAACUUAUAAUUACAACAACUUUCCGUGAAGAAAAGAGAGAGACACAAAUACAAACUAAUGAGAUUAAAUAAAUCUCAAAUAUAAAAUAUUCUUCAAUAAACAUCAUUAAUCAAUCUCAAAAGAAACAAGAAAAGAAAUUCAUAAAUUAAACAAUAAGAAUAUAAUAUAACAAUCCAUUAUUUAAUAAAUUCAAAAAAAAAAAUCACAUUUAUAUUUUAAAUUUUAUUGGUCUAAUUUUAGAUAGGUUUAUAAACUUCAAAUGAUUUAAAAUAUUAGUGUCACGCCCCUAAAUAUAGGAAGGUUCAUUGAAAUGAAUAAAUAAGAAAUGUGUUGACACCAUUUUUUUGAUGAAAACGGGGUUGACUUGGAUUUUGAAAAUGAAAAUUAAAAUGACAGUCGCCACCAAUCCUUUUUGAUAAGGUGUGAUCGGAUCACCUUGAAAAGUGGUUGUUUUUAAUAAACGAUUUAAUUUUAUUAAAACAACGAGUUUGGUCCACGAAAUUCAGAAAAAUGGGUUCGGGAGUCGGUUACGUACGAGGAAGGAUUAGCGCCCUCGUGACGCCCAAAAAUUGGUACCUAGUUGAUUAGUUAAUGUCUUAAUGUCAAAAAUUGUAAACUUUGAAGAAUUUUAAAAAUACGAUCCUUAAUUUUUUUAAAAAGAAAACUUAUAUAAAUCAAGUUACUCGUUAAGACCCUCCCAUUUCAGAAAGAGAAAACGUCACGCCCAAUGCGUUAGGGCACGAUAUUUUACCUCUUCAGAAAUGAGCUUGUCUAAAAACUUACACAAUAAAAUUUUAAAGGGCAUUCAAUUGUUUAAGUCAUGUGAAAAAUUGCAACCCAAUACAUUAGGGCACAAUUUCUCAAAAUAUUAAACAUUGAAUAUUGCAUUUAUUUUGAAAAAUCCUCAUAUCCAAUGCGUUACGGCACAACGUACUGAAUUCUCGAUAAUGAGCUAUUUAUUUAUGUUUUUGUUUUAAAGAGCACCCUCGAUUAUUUAGAUCCAACGAAGAAAAUUGGAACCAAUACGUUAGGGUUCAAUUCUCUCGAAGAUCCCAAAUACCGAGUAUUACUUUUAUUUUGAAAUUUUCCGUUUUUGAUAAAUCCGAGUAAAAAUGGAUGCAAAAUAAUGAUAAUGAUGAUAAUGUAAGUAAAAUAACACGAGCAAAACAAAAUAUAAAUAAAUAAUAAGACUAAUAUAAAUACAAUCGUGCAGGCGCAAUAACAAAUAAGAAACAGAUAAAAACUAAAGCAAGAAAAAUAAUAAUAACAUACAUGUAAAUAAAUAACUGAACAAAAUUAACAAAAUUAAAAAAAAUAUAAAAGAUAUAUUUAUACAUAUAUAUGUAUAAAAUUAUGAAAAUAUUAAAAACAUAUGCAUGUACACAUUUUUGAAGCUAUUAUACAUGAAAAUAUAUGUAAGUAUAUAUGCACAUACAUGAAUACGUAUAGAACCAUCAUCAAAUAUAUAAAAGUAUAUAUAUAUAUAUGUAGGUAUAUAUGAAUCACAAAAUUUAAAGAAUAAUAUAUAUAAGAUAUAUAUUUUGGAAGUAUAAAGAAUAUGUAAGAAUUUAUAUAUACAUACAUUUAUAUAUGAAAAUGAAAUAUAUAGAUAUGUAUGUGGGUAUGUAUAAAUAUUAUAAAAUAUAAAAACAUAUAUGUGUACGCAUAUAUAUAAAAAUAUACAUAUGUAUAUAUACAUAUAUAUUAUGAAAAUAAAGCUAAAAAAAAACUAGUUAGUGUAUUAACAUAAUUGUAACGACUAAAUAAAGGAAAAUAAUAAUAAUAAUAAUAAUAAUAAUAAUAAUAACAUUAAAAUAAUUAACUAAAUAAUAAAAAUUGCUAAAAAAAGAUUAAAUCGAAAUAAAAACGAAAAUACUGGGCAAAUUCGAAAUAAAAAAAACGAAAAGGAUUAAAUUGCUACACGCAUCGAAAGAGGGAGACCAAAACGAUAAAUAAACCAAAGCCCCAAAACGCAGCGCUGCAACGGACUAAAAUGAAACAAAAGGAAAACUAUGUGGCUAAAUUAAAAUAAAAGAAAAUAAUGAAAAAGGGCCAAAUUGCAACUCGUUGCAAAGUCGGAGUGACUACGCGCGCAAAUAUCCCCUUUUAAGAAAACACGCGGAUCCUCCCCCAGGGUCGGGUCACCGAGCGGGUCAGGGCCAAAAUGGCGUCGUUUUGGCACCUGACCCUAAUGACAAAACGGCGCCAUUUCGUUUAGGGUAUUUAAACCUAAUUUUUCCCAAAAAACCUAAUUUCAGCCACCAUUUAAAAAAAAUAAAAAACUUUCUUUUUCUUUCAAAAAUCUGACUUUUGGGGUAAAAUUUUUUACUUUCUCUUGAUAUUUUGCGCGAAUAUGAAUUGUUUUUUUUUAAAAAAAUAUGUAUAAAAAUAAAAAUGAACGGGUAUAAAAAAGAAAAGAGAUGCGAAACUAAAAUCACAUUGGAGUGAAUCUGUUUGUUUUUUUUAAAUCUGUUUUUGUAUUAUUUAAAAGUGUUCUUACAAAAAAUCUAAAAAGGAACCCCCUAAAUUACAGAAAAAUUUGGCUUUUAUAGCCGAUUCUCCCCCCUCAUUCUUUGCUCUGUUGCUUUUCUAUUGCUUGCAGGGACUUGACGCGGUGCAUGUGGGGUGUCGGUGGCAAGUGGGGUGAUGGAACAUCCGACGGUGGCCGUGGCUGCUGGUGAUGCGACUGGUGUGCGGCGGCCAAGAGCUAGGGUUUCAGAAAAGCUGAAACCCUAGUUUGACUGUUGGGGUUGGGAUUUUGGGCCAAUUGGGUUAUUGGGCCUCGAGUUUGGGUUUGUAAUUGGGUUAAUUUAUUUUUUUUGGGUUUUAUGUUUGGGUUUAUUGAAUAUUGGGCUGAGGGUUAGUGGGUUAGGCCUAGGUGGGUUGGUUUGGGUUUUGGGCCCCGGGCUAAAAUUGGGCUUGUACAAAAUGAAUUAGGUUUAAUGGCUAAGUGUUAAAGAAUUCACCUUAGAGACUUAAGUUCGAGUUCCCUUCCUUCCUUUUUAUUUUUGGUAACUUGGUUUUAGGGUAAAGUCACACUCAAAAUAUAUACGACUAGGAAUUAAGAAUAAAUAAGAAAUGGGCAAUAGGUCCAAUGGUUAAGUGUUAAUCCCCUAUCUUAGAGAUCUUAGGUGUAAGUUUCCUUUUUCCCCUCCCAUUUUUCUUUUGGAUUUCGACAAUAAGGGGAAAUUUGCUGUGCCACCCCUAGGGUUUUCAAACCCGAGCUAUUUAAUCAUUCUUUUCCCAUUUGGAUUAGUUUUGCUUCUUUUCAAAUUCUUGUAAAAUUUCUACUCAUAUUAUAUUUCUCUUAUAUUUAUUUUCUUUUCCUUUCUUUUCAUUGUAACACCCUAAACUCGGUCGAAUAGGUUCGACCUAAAUUUGGAGAGCUACAUUAGCCACCGAAGUGACUUUCCAUUAACUCCCAAUCUAACCUCUAACACACCACUUACUUGCAACGUAUAUUAUGAUAAGUUAUAUCAUAACAAGGGUAUAAUAUAAUACAUAUAAUGUAAAUCAUGCAAGCUUAAAACCAAUGUAACACCCCAAACCCGGCUGAGUAGGUUCGACCCAAAUUUGGCGAGUUACAUUAGCCACCGAAGUGACUCUCCAUCAAUUCCCAACCUAACCUCCAACACACCACUUACUUGCAAUGUAUGUUAUGAUAAGUUAUAGCAUAACAGUGAAAUAAUAUCACAUAUAGAAUGUAAAUCAUGCAACCUUAUCAAACAAAAUGAGGGAACGGUUCGCAUGUUAAUUACUACGUAAGGCUACGUAGUAAGGUUAUCGCACCUAAGGGUUCACAAGCAUAUAGGGGGUCACAAACAAACAAAGGUCGCAGAAAAUAACACUUCGCAAAAAAAAUUGGCUCGCGUAUGAUGUUAAUACAUAUUUUGGAAAAAUUGAAAGAAUGCGACAUGGUACUCAUGCUAGGAGAAUUAAAGAAACAUCAAAGUAUAUUCAUGCAGAGAAGAAAUUAGUAAUAAAGGUUUAACUUCAUGGUUCGCAAAAUAUUAAAAGAAUAAACUUAAACUUUAGGGAAAUCGUUUCAUUAACAGAAUCAUAUAAUGAUAAAUCUAAACCUAUAUAAAUAAAACCCCAUCACCUAUUUCCCUAGGUUCGCAUUAUUUGUUCAGAGAUAGCCUCGCUAUUGCCAUUGGCGACUUACUUACCUGCAAAGUAAGAGAAGAGUGGGUGAGUUCAUUGCGAACUCGGUGAAUAAUCCGGAAUCAUCAACGUAUGAUUAAAAUACAGAGUUUAAAAUAGAAAGAAGACUUAGUAUGAAAAACUAUUGUAUCGCGUGUUGGGUUCGCAGUGAAUGCUAGGUUCGCAGUGAAUGUGCGAGACCCAGUUUAUAGAACCUGCUUGUCAUAAAAUCAUAUAAGUUUGAAAAUAGUUUUGCAUGUACUUACUGAAAAUCAUACUUAAAAACUUAGCUUGUUCUUGUUUGAAAAUGGAUCUUUUAUAGAAUGAAACAUGCUCACAUACUUAUCUUAUCGGAAUGGCUGAGGAAUAUAAAAUAUGUUCUUGCACUUUUCUUAACUUACUUAUAUUAUCUUGUCUUAUUUUGUUGGAUAUGUGGAUCUCUUUAUAACGCCUCAGAAUGACUCAAAGAGUCCUUAAGAUGUCCCAUAAGUGUAACAUAAGCUAAACACUCUCUUGUACACCAACAUGUCCUAUUGAAUGGAGCAUAGCUUGGCGUUCCCUUAUCUCUCCACAUGUCCCAAAGCCUCAAUGCCCAAAUCACAAAACUUAUUGGUGAGUACUCACAAUCCUUUGGUAUACAAAUAUAUCCAAUAUAUAAGCUCACAAAGGCACUCGUAUAGAAACUUAGCACAUAGAGCUAGAAAAAACAUAGCUUAUAGAACUGUAUUUUUAAAACAUGCUUUAAAACAUAGGCUUGCAUAGGAGCAUGCGUAACACAUAUCUUUAAAACAUAGCUUAAAACAUAUCUUGAAAACAAAUUAUCAGAACUUUUAAAAACAUAGUUUUAUAGGAAAAAAAACUUACUCUUGGAACUUAGUUUUUAAAAAAAAAAGAUUCUUAGAAAACAUAACAGUUCACACACAAGUUACGAAACCUGAGCAUUCAUACUAAAAAACAUGAUAGUUACCACACUUAUGGCAAUUCUUAACCACUCAUCGAUAAAACUGAAAAUUUAAAUGAGUUUUGCCUUGCCUUUAUCCUUGCUGUAGAUAGUCUGGUUGGUUCGUAACAUGCAUAAACACACAAAUUACUUCAAUAGACAAAACUUACGAACUUCACACAUGCAAGCGAACCUAGCUUUCUGGACAAUAAACCCUAAUAGGAAAAAUGCUUACCUUGGUUGCUACGAAUUUGGUUCAGAACAAAGACUUGACAACAAAAUAACGAUGAAAGAAUUUUUCCUAGAAUAAGGAUUGUAUUUAUAGGCACUAAGUAUCUUAGUGACCUUAGGAUACCCUAUUUGACUUAGGAACCCUCUACGGUUUAAAAGAAGGUUACGUGCACGAAAAGUAUCCUAGAUACACAAUAUAUUUAUUUCCUAAGUUUAGUCUAACUUGACUUUUGAUUGGCGAACCCCUAGUUUGUAACUCAAUUGUUGAACCCCAGCUCACUAAACAGAUUGGAGAACACAACUUUCAAUGAAUCUAGCGAACCUCUUACCACAUCAUUUGGCGUGCAGCAGUUUGCUAGAACACUGGCAAACUCCUUACUGGUAUCCCCUUUGGUGAACCCUAGUUUGCUGAAACACUAGUGAACCCUCACUUGUAAGGUCAAAACUUCUAGAUCAGGUUUCAGGAUGUUACAAACACCAUAUUUUUAUCAUAAUUGUUGUUGAUUAUUUUUCUUUCCUGAAUCAAAUCAUCUUUCAUUAAAUUAUUUUUCUAUUAGUUUUGUAAUUGUCGUCAAUAGCACCUCUAUAUUUGCCAAGAAACAAACCGAAUUUAGGUGAAUCAGACCGAAAUAAAGUGUGAAGAACAUCAACCGGAACUGUGGUGAAAGGUGUGUGUCUUUUCCAAGUGAAUCAGUGGUGAUCUGUGUACGAUUAAGGCCACAUGGGCUAUGCGUGUGGUCCACCAACUACCACACAACCAUGUGCACUUGUAGAUUUUAGGGACUUCAUGAACCAUACGGCCUCAGCCAGUUACACGAUCGUGUCUUUCCUGCAAGGUUUAUCAUUUUCCACAUGGAAUCAUGCUGUUACAUGACCGUCUAACCCUUACACAGGGUCUUACCCUUCUCACAUGGCCUGGCCAUACAGCCGUGUGACCCUGUUUUACAGUUUUGACCAAAAAUUUAUCAUAUGUUCAAUUUAGUCCUCGUUUAUCCCUUGAAUUAUUUUAGAGUUUUCAUUCACUCAAUUAAGUCCUUGAUAUUGUGUUUAUUCUAGAAUCUGUGAUUUAAUGACUAAAUUCCUAUUUUUAUAUUGUAUGAGAUGUGAAUAUUACAUGCCUACUGUCAUUGUAAUACUGAUAAACUAUUAAUGAUAAUAUUGUUACCACCCUAUUGAGUACAUGUUAAGCAUGUCUACUGCUAAUGUUGAACUGAAUACAUGAUAAGCAUGUCUAUUAUUAUUAUUUUUUGUAUUGUUCUAUUACAAAGCAUGCCAUAUUGCAUUGCAUGGGGUGGGACGAUAUGUAUGGAGAAAGGGUGACAGUUUAAUAAUCUGCAACCCAGUGGUGGCUCGUCCACAAACCCAAUGGCAGUUUAUCUGCAAAUGUUUUAACUAAAAAUACUGGUUGUUUAUCCGCAAUUUUUACAACGAAGUGGUAGUUUAUAUACAAAUCAGUGGUGAUUUAUCCACAACUCGGUGUGUAUGGAUGGAUGAGUUCUGGGGAACUCAUAGUGUGGUGUGUAGUGAAGUUGGGUAGGACCUUUUCUGAUAAACUGAAAUUGCAUUGCCAUUCAUAAACAUGUGCAUACAAACCAUGAAUUCUAAAUAUUAUAGUGAAGUGUUGAAUUGGAAAACCGAUAUUGUGAAUUGCUAUACGAUUGUGGUUAUUCUAAGAAUUGUUAUUUCGUAUGCUUUGACCACUAUGUUACACCGAUUUUCUUGUGAUAUGACUCACAUUGAGCUUAAGUUCACCCCCUUUUAAUUUCCAUCUUUAUAGAUAACCCACCAGGUUAGGACAUAGACACAACAUCUGGAAGGUCUUGGCUCAGAUAAAUUUUUUUAUUAAAAGUAUUUUAGACUUAUUAUUAUUUCUAUUAUUUGGAAUUGUAUUGUUUUAUUCAAACUUUGGCACGAGACUUAAGUUUUGAGUUUAUUUGACAUGCAUGAAAUUUAAUUUGAAUAUUAGGAUAUUGAAACAUGGAUUUUAAACUAAUUAUGCAUGAAAUUUUGGUUUCGCCAUCAUUAAAAAUAUUUUGAAUAUCAUUUUUCCGCUACGAUAUUAUGAAAAUAAGAAUUUGAAAAAAGUAAAUGAAUUGGAAAUCAACUUUUACUAAGUAAACUUUAAAAUCCAUUGUUUUUUGGAAACUUUUAUUUUUUAGUGAAAACAUGAUUACACGCAAAGUUUUUCUUCAAUAAUAAGCAAAUGUUUUAAACAACUGUUUUAUAAAAACUCCGAUAGUUGUAGUAGGCCAUUUCGGUAGCCAAUGCAAUCUUUUGAAUUCAGUCUUAACGUUUAGGCCGAGUUGAGGAAGUUACUAUUAGCAACUUAACAUUAAUUUGAACAUUAAAUGUUGGUCCAAACUUGACACGAAAUAUAUUUAGAAUACAUAAAUCAAAAAAUUAGUAAGUUGGCUACUUGGGUUAAUUUAUUGGUUUGACACAACAUAUCCUAUAGUAAUUCAAUGGGAUUAGAACAUCCCAACUCCUAGUUGAUUUAAUUGCUAGGUUAUCUAAGUCCACGCUUGCAAUUAUUGCUUAAAGCAUUUGUUUAAUAAAAUCUUAAAUUCCAAUGGAGGUGCUUUUUCAUAAUAUGAGGUAACCUAAGAAAAAGGAAAAAGUUGAACAUAUUGUUAAGUUAAAAUUGAACAAAUUAAGGCAAAGUGUACAAAUGGAGUGUCAUCAUUCAAAUCGGUCCUUCUCUUAAUUGUCAUAAGCCAAUUAGGUAAGCCAGAUUCUUUUAAUAAAAAGUAAAGAUUUCAUGGCAUCCCUAAAGCAUUGCAAAUUUUUUGUAAGCAUUAAAAUGGCAUUAGUUGGUACAAUACUGGUAUUGAUCUGUAUAUAUUGCUUCGGUUUUGAUCAGUACCAAAUAGUUUAUAUUUCGUUCAAUCAAAAUUUUGUUAUGUUUGAUUAUUUCGGUGUGUUUCGACCUAUUUUGGUCAAUAUCGGCUUGUACUAGCUAGUAUAAAAUUUGAUAUUUUAAACUAAAUUUUAAAAUUUUUUAAUCUUAAUUAUUUUAAUUUUGGCUAAAGGGUCUUCAAAGCCCUUGAACAUUAAAAUUUCAAUCAAUUAAGCCCAUCACACAUUAAAGUUAACGAUCAACCAUGAAAGAGCAACAAUAGCCAUUAUGAGCAAUUGUUUUCACCACGUGGCAUGUUAGACUGUACCACGUGACGAAAUAUGGUGUUUUAAAUUUAAAACCAUUAAAACUAUAGAAAAUCAUAAAAUAUUAAAAAAUUACAAAAGUUAUAAAAUUAUAUAAAAAUGAACAAAAUUAUAAAAAGUAGUAUAAAUGAUACAAAAAUUAUAUAAAUUAUUAAAAAAUUGCAAAAAGAAAACAUUAAAAAUAAGCUUAAAAUAAGAAUAUAUAAAAAAAUGUAAAAAAAAAAAAUUAGAAACUAAGUUUCGGAUACACAGCUCUGGCUGUAUUUUUCAUAAAUAAAAGCUUGGUUGAGAUUUUAGAUUUGGUAUAAAUACAAUAAAUAUAAUAUUUAUAGUAGUAAACAAGUGAAUGAAAUUAAGUAAUUGUGAUUGAGAUUCACCAUGAUUAUAUUUAUAGGAAUAAAAUAUUCCUAUAUAUAAUGAAAGUGUAAUUGAAUAAUAAAAUUCAUAUUAAUACAAGUUGCUUUAAAACAAAAGUAAAUAAUUUGAUAUUGAUCUUGUGAAACAAUUGAAUUUUGGUUUUGUUAUGGGAUUAAAUUAGCAAUUAAUCCUUUUUAAGAAUUUAGAGAACGAAUUAGAUAAGUUAGACAUAAAAGUAGAAGAGUAAAAAGAAAGGAAGUAGUGGGUAGAUUAACAUAAUUAGGAGUUUAAAUGAUAUGAUAAUAAUUAAAGCUUUAAUUUAGUUAAGGUAAUUAGAAAUGUUUGAUCAUAUUUUAGAUGUUAAUUGAAAUUAAACGAGUUAAUAGGUCGAAUACAAGUUUAUAUUUUAGUUAAGAUAAUUAAGAGUUUAACUAGAAUUAAAAAAAAAUAAGAAGCACAUUGAAUCGUCGAUGAAUUGAUUUGAUUCUAAAUCCAAACUCAAGAGAGUAGGAACAUAAUCCAUUGGAAACAACACUUUUAAGUUGUUUAAAUUUUUGAGAAAGAAAAACACUUUCAACCUUUUUUUUAAUCCCCACUCUAUCCACCAACCUACUCGUUGCUUUAUAAGUCAAAAUCGGGAAAUUAAAUAUUACACUAUUACUAAUUCGGUUAAAUUGGUUAAUUCGGUCAAAUGAAUAUUAUCGAUUUUUUGAUAUGUUUUUUUACUUGUUUUAACCAAAAAAAUAAAACAUAUAAAUUUCGGUUAAUUUGAUUAACCGGCCGAAUUAAUCGAAAUAUUUCGAUUUGGUUAAUGGUUAAAGAUACUAAUUCGAUUCGGUUAACUGAUCGGUUAAUUGUUUGAGCACCCCUAAAAAUAAGUCAUGGGACCAACAUACUGACUUCCAUACAAUUGUUAGGUAUAUAUAGCAACUCAUAAGUAUGAGUAGAAUUAGUACGCAGUACCUUAGAUUCAUUGAGCCACAUUUCAAAGUUUCCCAUGAUCUCUUUUGCUGUCAAUGAUAUAAUAAACUUUUUGUAUUCACAAUUAUGUUCACAAUAUAAAACAUAAUUGGUCGACUUGAAUACAAUUAAAUGAGACACUCUAAUGUUCUUUCCUUUUCCUCAAAUCUCUCUAUUUCAAUUCAACUACUCUCUAGAUAUGUCCCGUUAGAUUGAAUCAUACAUGAUCAUCGAUAGCCUACUAAAAUAGCUAAUAUUGAUGUAAAACUUCAAGAAACAGUUAAAGGUCAUGAGGGUACUUAGUAUAGAUCUUCAGUUGAUCUCAUGGGUUUCACACAACAUAGAAGCAGAGAUCAAAUCUUCUAUUACCCAUUUUGUUCGUAUAAUACACAUGUAGUAUGAAACACAUGCUAUGGUAUUACUCUCACUUUCCUUGAAGUGUAUGUCUUUAUCAAAAAAUCAAUACCACAUAGGUGAUAAUUCAAAUACACUUAGUAUCUAACUCGAGUCCACAACUUUAUUUUCUUAAUAGAUUCAACAACAAGACUUUCACCUGGAAUAAAAGACAUAUAAAGUGAAAAAUUCAUAUUUAAAUUAUCAAACAUAAAUCAAAUUGAUUAUAAUUAUAUCAUUUUGCAUAUAGCUCAUGUCGUGCAAGUGCACACUUUAGCCCCAACAAGUUUGGACCUAUGCCCUUCAUGCAUGCAAGGCAAGAUUCCAAACAUAAUCAUUCAAUCAUCAUUUAUGUGGGUUCUCAUAUAUAUACACAUCUCACACUUGGUAUUUAACCAAUGUGGGAUCUAAGCUUUUCUUUUCCUCAACAAAUAUUCACAAGUAGCUUACUUUGAGCACCAAUUUCUCAUUCAUCACUCAACCAUUUUGAGCAUAUGAUAUACUGUUGUAAAGGUCUCAUGGAGUAGAAUAUAAAAUCAUAAUUUUAUGAUUCAACUCUCAACAUUUACCAAUUAAAAAUAUGCCUCAAAGUUCCCAUAAAUUACAAAUUUUCCAACAACUUUUGAAUGCAUUAAUCAUUAUCAACAUUAACUCAAGUGAGGACAAGAAUAUAUUAUUCAACUUGCAAUCCUAGAGUUUUGACAUUCCUUUAAAAAAUCUCUAGGAAUCGGUUUUGUAAACUGAUUUGCAAUCCUCUUAUGCAUAGACUUUCUCUCUUGUUGUGAGAUUUACCUUCACACUUAUUUUUUCCAAUAUACUAACUUUAGAUAUUUGGAGUUUGGAGUUGGUCAAACAGAUGUAAAAGCUACCUUUUCCAAAUGAAAAUCUGGAAUUUACACAGACAAAGUAGAUUUCAUUGACAAAGGUGAAAUGCAUAGUCUGGGCAAGUUAUGAAGAUCAAUUUUAUGAUCUUAAGCGAUUUUCCAGAUAGUGAUAUGCUAUUUUUUUUAAUUAAGAAACUGUUUAGUUUGAUUUAAUCAUAAUUGAUAAAGACCACUUUACUCAUGUUAAAAGAAGGAAAGAAAAUUUUGUAACUAUGUCAUUUUAUGUGGGUGACAUGUUGUUGGCCGCAAAUGAAUUAGUGCUUAUCAUUAUGGGUUAUGCAAGACUACAUGUCAAUUCAUACGAAUGUGUCCUUUUUUCAAUGUUGUGAGUAGCAUCAUAUAUGUUAUGAUGUACAUAAAGCAAAGUAUCUCUUGUAUAGUUGGAUUCAAGACACUCCAAUCCAAACUCAUUGCAAAACAAUGAAAAUGAUAUUGAGGUAUUGAAAAGACACUAUGGAUUUUCACCAUGCUAUCUAAUUGUGAAUACAAAUACCUAUUAAUUAAAAGGAGAUUUAGAUGAAAUAUUGAAAUCUAUCUCCACACAUGUGUUCGUAUUUGAUAAUGGAGUGAACUCUUAAAGUAGUAAGAAAUAAACUUGUAUAGCAUGGUCUAUUAUUGAUGCUGAAAUUGGCAUUUUUAGCGAUGGUUCAAGAGAGUGUUUGGGUUAAAAUAAUCACGAUUAAUAUAGUUACGUUAAAGCAAAAUAUCUUCUAUAGUUGGAUUCAACAUAGUCCAAUCCAAACUUAUUGCAAAACAAUGAAAAUGAUUUUGAGGUCUUUUAUUGUUCUCUCUUGUAUAGUUUGCAUCUCAAGGCACUUUCUUGUUGAUUACGAUGAACAAAAAACGGUUGCAAGCUCUGGGACGAGCAAGAUCAAUAUCUUUAGAGAUCAAAUGAUGGUUAGUAUACAAAUUUAAAAACUAGUUUUUAUAAUUUCAUUUUCAUAUAGUUUUUAUUUAUUUUUUAUUAUAAAUUUUAUGCUUUUUAUAAUAUUUUAUAUGUUUUAGUAUUUUUACAAUAUUUUAAUAACUUUCUAUCUUUUUAAAUAUUUAUUACCAUUUUUAUUUUUAAUUCAAAUAAUUUAUUUUUUUCCAAUUUUCUAUAUUUUAUAAUAUUUUUAAUAAUAUUUUAUAUAUUUAAAUAUUUUUUCAUAAUUUUAAUUUUUUUAAAUUUUUCAUAAUUUAUAUGUUUUUUUAAUUUUUAUUUUAGUACUUUUUAAUGCUUUUCACAAUUUUUAAUAAUUUUUAUAAUUUAUAUUUUUUUUUCGUUUAUAAUCAUUUUUAUAAUUUAUAUAUAUAUCUGCAAUUUUAUAUAUUUUAUAAUUUUUGCAAUUUUUAUAUUUUAUAAAAUAAUUUUGUAAUACUCCAAACUCGGCCUUAACGUUAUGACCAAAUCUAGAGAUGCUAUGAAGAUACAUUAAAAAAAAUCUAGAAUCUGUUGAUUUUAUAAAAUGAUACUUGCCCUUAUUUAGUAAAAUCUGAGUUUAUUUGAGAAAUUUAUCGUUUUGAUGGGUUUGUCAAUUAUUUACUCAUAAAACUAGUCGAAUCCAAUUUGAAAACACGAUUUUUUUUGUUGUUGUAAAAUCCAUUAUUCAACAAUUCAAUUUUCAACCCACCAACGAGGAAAUCACACAGGACUUCCUGCUAACCUACCAUCUUUUUUCAAGAGUUCAAACCCAAUCCAACACCACCAACUCGACAGCACAUUAAGGGCUAACAAAAAUAAAUUAGAGACUCAAACGAUAAAUUAACAUCUUAUCGUUGAACUAGUAAACUCAUUCUAUCACAAAUUGAUCAAAAAUAGUAUUUAAGUGGUAAGGAACAAGAUAAGGAUAAAAGACAAAAAUAAUAAAAUUUCUUAAAAAUGAGAUUUGAACCCUAAUCAGUAAAACAAAUACUUAUUCAUGACAUAAAUUAACAAAUUAAAAAUUCAUAUUUUUGGGUCUUAAAAGUUUUUAAUAAAUUAUAAUUACUUGAUUCCAGUUUCUUUAUUAUGCCCAAAUUUAAGAUUAAGCCCUAUAUUUUAAUUUUGACAUAAUUUGAUUUAUUUAUUUUUAUAAUGUCAUUAGUUAUCUUAAAUCGCUAACAUUAUUAGCUAUGCCAAGUAAAAUAACAUCGCGUAUUUUUUUUCUUAAAAUCAUCACUUCUAACUAAAUAAUGGCUUAAUCACUUUUUUAACUAAUUAUACUAACAUAGAUUUUUUUUAGUUGGAACGAGUAUGUUUAAGGAAAAAUCACCUCAACACUUUACUUGAAAUUAGUAAUCACAUUAAUUAUUUGGACUAACUAAAUCAUUACUGAAUCACCUUCUAACUAAUUAUAGUAAUGUAUAUAUUUAAGAAAAAGCUCACUUUAAUGUUUUAACUGAAAUUAUUAACCGUGUUAAUUACUUAAACUAACUAAUGAAAAAUAUUUCAAAUUAAUUUAUACUGAAUAACUCUCAAAUCCAAGUAUAAUAAAAUAAUAUGACUAACUCAAACUUGGCGUUGAAUUGAGUUUGGGAGUAAAAUAAUCACAUCACUCAUUGGCAAAGCAUGACUGUGAUUAUGAUAUGGUUUUUCGAAGUAUAACUAUGGUGGAGUUGAUAGCAUUGAUUAGAAUACCUUUAUAAAUGAAUAUAUAACAUUUAAUCAUGUAUAUAUUUUUAAUAAUUUAAUAACUUAAAAAAACACCACACUUUAUUAUAUAUGUAAAAUGUAAAUAGAAGCUACAUUCUUAUUUCAUGAAAUAACAUCAUAGAGAAUGUGAUGGCAGAGUUCAUUCUCAGUAAUAUAUGUGAUACUAAUUAGGAAUCAAACUGUCUUCAAUGGCUGGAUGGAGGUGGAGGUGGAGGUGGAGACAUGAAAGGAAUGGAAGGCAAGCUGCUACUGGGAAGUGGUGGAAGAACAGUGAUAGGCUUAGGCUAAGAUGGUGGGAUUGUUGGUAGCUUCGGGAUUCAAGGCAAUGGAGGUAUGCAGGGUUGAGCUGAGAAUGAUGGUAGAUCUAGGAUUGAAGGCAAUGGAAGUAUGUUGGGCAACUUACGAAGUGGUGGUAGUUCUAAGUUCUGGGAUUGAAGGAAAUGGUGGUGGUUCUGGGAUUAAAGGAAGUGGUGACAUCGGAGGUGGCAAUGGUACCGGUAAAUAUGCAGAUGGCAAUGGUACUGGUAAAAAUGGAGGUGGCAAUGGUAUUGGCGACAAUGGAGGUAGCAAUGGUACUGGUGACAAUGGUAUUGGCGACAAUGGAGGUGGCAAUGGUAUUGGUGGAAAUGGAGGUGGCACUUGCUGAAGAUUUCGGGUUGCUAGGCUAACCUCCAUGCUUGAAAAACCCAAGGAAAUGAAGCAGGCUAAUAAAAUGAAAACGUUGGAAGCUGCCAUUUUUUUUUGGAGAGAUGAACUAAAGAUUGAAGAUUUGAGUUGAGGAAAGCAGGAUUGGUUUCGGGUAUUUAUAGCCACAUUUGAAGGAGUUUUUUAAUUAUUUGUUUGAGAUAUUACUCCCCUACUUAGCUUACUACCUUC
rnacentral:lncRNA from 1 species